rnacentral:rRNA from 1 species
GACGAACGCUGGCGGCGUGCUUAACACAUGCAAGUCGAACGGAAAGGCCCUGCUUUUGUGGGGUGCUCGAGUGGCGAACGUGUGAGUAACACGUGAGUAACCUGCCCUUGACUUUGGGAUAACUUCAGGAAACUGGGGCUAAUACCGGAUAGGAGCUCCUGCUGCAUGGUGGGGGUUGGAAAGUUUCGGCGGUUGGGGAUGGACUCGCGGCUUAUCAGCUUGUUGGUGGGGUAGUGGCUUACCAAGGCUUUGACGGGUAGCCGGCCUGAGAGGGUGACCGGACACAUUGGGACUGAGAUACGGCCCAGACGCCUACGGGAGGCAGCAGUGGGGAAUAUUGCACAAUGGGCGGAAGCCUGAGGCAGCAACGCCGGGUGCGGGAUGAAGGCCUUCGGGUUGUAAACCGAUUUAGACUGUGACGAAGAGUGAGUGACGGUAAUGGGUAAAGAAGCACCGGCUAACUACGUG